rnacentral:sRNA from 1 species
AAAUGAAUUGUCAUCCGUCUGACUGGGGGAAAAGAGAAAGAUAGCAAACAAAUUUUCAAAGCUGAAUGGUCUCAUGAGUAUUGAUGAACAACUUUUUACACCUUUUUUAAAAAUUUUAUACUUGCUAAAAUUAAUUGUCUUUUUAAUCCAUUUUUUUACCACAAGAGAAUUUAAAAGUAAUCAUCAUUAACUUAGAGAAUGGUUUAGUCAUGAUUUAAAUACUGUUAUUAUACAUGUACCGGUAUUACAUUUUGUUACUGCUUGUAUUCAUUUAGUGAAUGUGAUAAAAAAAAGUUUAAUCAUAAAAUUAUUUAUUAAAACCUUCAUUUUAUCAGAAAUGAUUAUCAGCUGUUUCUCCUUGUUUGGAAUAUCAUUUUGAAAUUUCAAAGACUUUAAAAAUGUAUGAUUUGAUUCUUUAGACCUGGAGGUUGUAAAGUUUUGAUUUAACCCUUUUAUAUAUU